rnacentral:lncRNA from 1 species
CCGAAUUUAAAGCUUCUGAUGGCCUGAAACAUGAGAUAUGGAACAUGAGUUUCCGCAUGUUUGCCUCUGGGUUCAAUCGAGGCCUGAAAGAAGCCAGGGAUGCCCCCUCCACCCCACUAGCUCAACUCCGAUCCCCUGAAGUGGACUCUGAUGGUGAGGAGGUGUGUUAUAGGGAGGAUGACAACCCCCUGCCUAAAAGAGCUUCUCGCACCGCAACUGGACCUCUUAAAGGGGAUGCUGAGCUUGAGGGAGGAGAUGAAAAAGAGAGCGGCGAGUCUUAGGAGGGCGAUGCCAGGCCUCAAGGGGAGGAAGCCGAGUUCCAGGAAGAAGGCAUCAGACCUCGAGGAGGGGAGAUAGUGCCCUUCGUGGGUACCAGGGGGUCAGAGCAGGAGGGUACUGGGCUCCCCCAGGAUAAUGGUGUAGGUGACAAUGUAAAUGAUGAUGUAGUUAGUAAUGUAAAU